rnacentral:rRNA from 1 species
UUCUGGUUGAUCCCGGCGGAGGCUACUGCUAUUGGGAUUCGAUUAAGCCAUGCAAGUUGAAUGAAUUUAGAUUCAUGGCGUACGGCUCAGUAACACGUGGAUAACUUACCCUUAGGACUGGGAUAACUCUGGGAAACUGGGGAUAAUACCGGAUAUUAGGCUAUGUCUGCAAUGGUUUGCCUUUGAAAUGUUUUUUUUCGCCUAAGGAUAGAUCUGCGGCUGAUUAGGUCGUUGGUGGGGUAAUGGCCCACCAAGCCGAUGAUCGGUACGGGUUGUGAGAGCAAGGGCCCGGAGAUGGAACCUGAGACAAGGUUCCAGACCCUACGGGGUGCAGCAGGCGCGAAACCUCCGCAAUGUACGAAAGUGCGACGGGGGGAUCCCAAGUGUUAUGCUUAAAGGUAUGACUUUUCAUUAGUGUAAAAAGCUUUUAGAAUAAGAGCUGGGCAAGACCGGUGCCAGCCGCCGCGGUAACACCGGCAGCUCGAGUGGUAGCUGUUUUUAUUGGGCCUAAAGCGUUCGUAGCCGGUUUAAUAAGUCCUUGGUGAAAGCUUUGUAGCUUAACUAUAAGAAUUGCUGGAGAUACUAUUAGACUUGNAGUCCGGAGAGGUUAGAGGUACUACCGGGGUUAGGGUGAAAUCCUAUAAUCCUGGGAGUACACCUGUGGCGAAGCGUCUACUGAACGAUCUUGACGUGAUAACGAAACCAGGGCGCAACCGUAUUAAACCCGGUAGUCUGACUUACUAUGUGAUUGGGUGGAAGGCUUGAGUGUCCGUGCCAAGGAACUUUAAUCACCCUGGAAACGUCCAAUUAACUAAGAUGCGGGAACAAAGCUGGCCUGCUUAUUGAUCACCGAUCCCCAGAGACCUUGAAACGCUUACUUUAUGCAGAGGUCUCCACCG